GCCAGUGUGGGGUAGUGGUUUGAGCAUUGGACUAUGAUUCUGGAGAGCAGGGUUUGAAUCCCUGCUCAGCCA
rnacentral:tRNA from 1 species